UCAGUUUUGCUCUAAUUUAGCCUAAAUCAUGUUUUACACAAAGCUGAUUAAAUUAAAUUACUACUAUUAUGUAGAUGCAUUUUUUAUAAGUAAUGCUGAAAAUGCAUAUUGAAUUCUUCUUAUUAUUAUUGUUUUUGCAUUGCAUUGAAAGAGAAUGUCAUAAGAAAUAGAAAUGGUUUUGUUCCUUAAAUAGCCAUUGCAUAAGAUUGUUUGACUAAUCUCGCAUUCCCUGUGUAUCAGUCUCUCCAUAGACCUUCUAUAGUUCUUUGAAGUAUAUUUCAUAUUAAGGUAUAUAUUAUCUCUUUUCAAUGUAGGAAGGGAUUUAUUUGCAAUGGGUUUUUUUUUAUUUAUACUAGAAAAAGUAUCGCCAUUAUUUCCUUUAAUUUUAAGAAAUCGGUCUAAUUGAAAUGGUAAAAAUUAAUCUAAUUUUAUGAAAUACAGAUGUCACUUAAAAAAAGAAGAUGAUUAAGGCCUAUGCAUGUUUCUAGGUCAAUCUAGUCAUGCAUGUUGAUCAUUGACUGAAAUUCUGCCAAGUCUUAGGUUUUGUGACUCACUUAGGCAGCCCAUUCCAUGCUCUAGGGAAGAAGGAGCAUUUAUACAAAUUUGCCCCUAGCGUAUGGAACAAGAAAUGUGCCUUUAUCUUUGUGUCUGAGUAUUUUAUUGGGUUUUGUUUUUGUAUUUGAAGAUUAUGGUUCAGUGUUUUAUGCUUUCUUAAUUAAGUGAUUUUAGUGCCUAAGAAUUAUACAAAGGCCCAGUGGCUGAAUGAAAUAGGACUUUCAGUGUUAAAAUUCUAUAAUAUUAGGUUAAAAACAGACAAAAUGCAGUAGGCUAUAUUUCAGCUUUAUCCAAUACCACACAGAAAAUAUUUUUUUCUUGAGCACGAGAAUUUUGCCAUCCACUCACUACAUAGAAACUUAACUUUAUUUGAAUAUUUUUUGUAUUUUGUCUAAAUAUUGUUUAAAGAAAUUAACACCAUAAUAUUUUUUAAGAUGAAUGUUUGCUGUUGUAUUUAGAAAUGGUAAAUCUUCACAGACAUUGCAAUGUUAUCUUUUGAAUUUAUUCCCUAAUCAGGUAAUCAUGCAUCACGUGCCCUCAGAUAUGUACAAAAAAUGAAGUUUGAGAAGAAAGAGAAAGGAUCAAGAUGAUUUACAAGACACUAAAGAAGUUAUCUAUCAACUAUACUCAAUGUAUGGACGACUUGCAGCCAGACUAGAAUUAUAGAGUAAGAUGUUUUUCUGCUGGCUAAACAUGUAUGGAUAAUGAUGCAGAGAAUUUCCUGGUGAUCAAGAAUUAGGAGCUGCACACAGUUUAAUGAAACCAUAUUUUAGGAACAGAUAGAAAACAAAGAACUGCAGCAAAGAUGGCCUGUUUUUAUUCUUCCUCAUG